GAAGUCUCAGUAAUUAUGUACUGCUAAUGGCACUACAUGAUUGCAUCCUCUGAUCGUCACCAUUCCAGCAAAGCUCAAAAGGGCGGUAACUGAUAAGGUGAUCUAAUUGGAAUAUUACCUGCAACCAUGUUCCAGCAGCAGCGAGGGAUGACAACAAUCCAGCGAAGAGCAGAGAGUCCUUUCCUUGGAAGACAGAUGCGACUAGGAUGCCCUUCUGCAUGGUGCUGGUGACAUGGGUGCCCAUAAGGAAUGCACCAGAGAACUCUAGCACCGCCGCAGUAAGCACUGCUUGCCGGAGUGUCAAAGCACCAGACCCUACUGACGUCCCCAUGGCAUUGGCCACAUCAUUUGCCCCAAUGUUCCAUGCCAUGUAGAACCCUGAAAGCAGUGUCAGAUAUGCCAGUGCCUUCAUUUUGUUCGUCCCAUGGAAGACCACUGACUGCAUCGCCAGUGGCACAGUGAGCGCUGCAAAUGCAAUCACCACUGAGAUUGACAUUGCCAUCCGGGGCGAUAUAUGGAAUGCCUUGGCCAUCUCCGACAGUUCAGAUUCCCCGUUCUGCUCCUCCUCAGACUCUGUGGCAUCUGCUUGCCCGCUGGAGCCAUUAUCAGCAUUGGCAAAGGAGGAUAUUGUGGCAUGGGGAAGGCUCAGGUGUGAGUUCAGUGUCUUGGCAGGUGACACAAUGGCUGAAGGGUAGUACCUCAGGCCAUGAAUCCGAGGUGGCAGCUGAGCAACAGGGUGACGGAGCAGGAGAGCGGCAGCCGCAGCUCGCCCUCCUGCUCCAGCAUGUGCUCGGGCAACGGAGAAGAAAGGGGAAGAUUGAGACAUGGAGUGGCAGAAGCAAAGUACAGGUUUGAGCAGAGAAGCACCGAGAAGAAAAAGAUGAGAUUAAGGGGGAGGAGAGGAGGAAGGUGAAUGAGAAGCGGUGGCCAUAGGUGUUUGUGGAAUGAAGUGAGCAUUGUUUUGUGGAUGGAGGAAAGGGCUUGCUUUCUGUGGUGGCCCAGCUCGGGCUGAGAUGAACGAGUGGUGGCUUGGAAUGAGUGGUGGAAGGGGAUACGAGCAAGAUUCCAGCCUAAUCCAUAACCUGGGGUUGCAGCUGACCACUUGACUGUUUUCAGUCUGCGUUACCAUCAGGGCCACCCUUCCCUCCAUCGUCUUUUUUAAAGAUCUAACUGUUGUCUGUUUCUGUUGUUUUGAUUCUCCAGUGCAAUAUUUAGCAUGACAUUAACAUCUUGCAUCAGUUUAAUAUGGAAGGCUUCUGAAGAUACUUGCGUCUGUGGUUCUAAAGCUGAUGCCAUCUACUGUGCAGAUAAAUGAAACUAAUACAGUUACAUGUGAAGUUCUCAUGUUAUAUGUACUGUUCUUAUGACAGAAAAACGUACUGUUCUUAUGACACACAAACGGUGACUCUUCAGAUAUACAGUCGGUGUUAGUAAUCAAGAUUUUCCAUGCUCAGAAAUCUAUUUAAUUGCAGAGGAAGUCAACACUGGUCUGGCUUCUCAUGGGUAUCAGGAUGGACCGGUGGUUCCCGUUUGGCAGUAGCGAUUGGAGCGCUGCUGGCCAAGGACCACAGAACAGAAAAUCAACUUGUGUGCUCCAGGCCGGAUGCUGAAGAGAAGAAUAAUCAGCGUCUUUGUCCCUGUAUCAGGUAUGGAAUACUUGAUCUUGUCUUCUACGAUCACUAGAGAUUGGCCACAAUUUAUCAGGUAUGGAAUACUUGAUCUUGUCUUCUACGAUCACUAGAGAUUGGCCACAAUUUAUCAUUUAGCAGACACCGCACUAGACACAUUUUCUGCUCAUCGAGUUGGCCAGGGCUCAGGUCGACAUUUUUUUUUUCCCUGCAAGUCGUGUGUUGUGGAUGAAGUAUUGUGUCUUUAAAGCGUGCACAGUUUCAAGAUUUCUUAUGGCUGAUUCUCCUUUUGCCGACUUCACUUUCGAAUCUGUAGUUAGGUAUAAGAAUCUUCCUGUGAUUUCAGUUUGGUGUUGCUUCUGAAUUUGUACGAUAACUUAAAAACAAAGAUACUGAGUAGUAGUAUACUUGUAGCUCCAAAUGGAGAUUUGUAACUCGACCAAAUUGCAGGGCACCACUGAGCCAUUUGCAAGUUCGACGGCCGCAAACAGGAGAGAUAGAAGCAUACUUAUAUAUAUAGGGGAGAGAGCGCAAUAACAUAGGAAAAAAAUGAUUGAAAUUACGUGAAAAAUGUGGUGUUAUAUUUUAAGCAAACCAUGUUUAUUUAUCGGUUUGAUUUUGAGAUAUCAAAUUUUGACGUACAAUAUUUCCUUGAAAGUCUAAUCAAAUUAUGGGGAGUAAAAGUGGUAACUCUAGAUUUAUGAUCAAAAUAACAUAGUGAAAUCCCUUCACAAGAAAUGACUCAGUGAAGUCCAUUUAAUGAAUAAUAAUCUUGGACUCGAAUUGUUCUGCGAUUUUGCUAUAUCUCACUUGAAAGAUUUUUUCUUUAUCUCUCACUCGAUUUUCUCACUCAAAUUUACAGUGUAUUUUCUUGUAAAUUAUAGUGUAAUUUAUGAAACUUACAGUGUAAUUUUUGAAUCUUCGCAUGUAAGUUUUGAAAUUUAUAUUGGAUUUGGUCUUUUUCUUAAAGAUAUGGUAAUUUAGUAUCUAUUAUGGUGUUUCUUAGUUGCUUUUUGCCUUUUACUAUGUCUAUUGGAUUUUAAUCCAAAGAUUAAAAAUUUAUAUGAUAUGAUCAUAGAAAUCUUUCGAAAGAUGCAUAGGUACUCCUUGUUUUGGAAGGUAACGCAAAUAGCCAAUGAAAGCGUUUUGAAAACAGAUCAGUAUUCGCUGUAUGUGGACUGUGGUGGUCAUUUCAUGGGCCUGAGGCCCUUGGGAUCAGCCUGUGCUCGCAACUCUAUCACCUGGGCCUUGUGUAGCCGACCAUUCCAAGUCCUACACUCGGACUCAAAUCACUCAAUUGUCCUUUCCUUUGCAGACAUUGAUCCUUCCUAUGGCCGGCUGAUUUGGAAAAGCAAAGUACCCGGACAUUGUGAAUUGUUUGUGUGGCUCAUCCAAUCAAGCGAUUUCACCAAUGUUUAAACGGCCGUUGUAUGUGUAAUCUUUGUACAUCAUGUAUACUUAACUAGACGUCAUGUAAUUUGCCUUAGAAAGUAACAAAGCCUUCUCUAAAUAACUAUUUCCUCUGGUCAGAAAGUGGUGUUUCGAAAUGUGUGUAAUUAACGUUAUUAAACUUUGACACUUAAGUUCUCUUUGAAUAUUUCAACUGAAUAUUUGAAAGUGAUAUGG